rnacentral:rRNA from 1 species
CAGAACUCCGAGAAGCAAAUAUAUAAUGUCUUGCGGUCUGUUGGGGCGAAACAUGGUGCCCUUCGCCGGGAUAAAGUCGAGGAAACAUACAAUCGACGUGUAAAAUCAGAGGACGAGGACAGGGAAUCAAAGAAGCUCAAAGAUGCAGCACAAGUGCUUAUAGUUGCAUCUAUCCUAAUAGCAACUGUGGCGUUCAGUGCAACUUUUGCCCUUCCUGAAGGUUAUAGAGCUGAUGAUCAUACAAAUGGAGGCACACCAACACUUGUUGGGAGUUUUGCUUUUGAUGCCUUCAUAAUGGCCACCACAUUAGCUUUCAUCUGCUCCGCACUAGCUACCAUCGGCUUCACGCUUGCUGCAACUCCCAUGGUUUUUCAUAUCGAGAUCACUGCACUUUGGCCCUUCAUAGCAAGCUUUGGUUGGGCUGCGUUGGCAAGGAUCCACCGCCGUCGCUAA